rnacentral:tRNA from 1 species
GCAGUCGUGGCCGAGUGGUUAAGGCGAUGGACUGCGAAAUCCAUUUGGUUUCCCGCUUAGGUUCGAAUUCCUGGCGGUGAUC